UACGUAGGGGGCAAGCGUUGUCCGGAUUUAUUGGGCGUAAAGAGCGUGUAGGCGGCCAGUUAGGUCCGUUGUGAAAACUCGAGGCUCAACCUCGAGACGCCGAUGGAAACCAACUGGCUAGAGUCCGGAAGAGGAGAGUGGAAUUCCCGGUGUAGCGGUGAAAUGCGCAGAUAUCGGGAAGAACACCCGUGGCUAAGGCGGCUCUCUAGUACGGUACUGACGCUGAGACGCGAAAGCGUGGGAGCGAACAGG
rnacentral:rRNA from 1 species